rnacentral:lncRNA from 1 species
UGAACCAUCCAAUAAGAGAGAAAAAACGAAUGUAGUUGUGCCACUAUCUUUCUCUAUACAUACCUUAACUCCAUUCAUAACUAUGAGUUGUAUCUUCCCAUGUUCGUUCAUUAUGACCCAAGAAAAAAAGAAAACGAAAACACAAAUUUCAUAUUCAUUUGCAUAACCCAGAAAUGAAGACAAAAUGAAACCACAAACUCCAUCUUCAUAAGAACAACCAAGAAAGUCAAUAUGUUCCUACAUAUGCACCUCAACUCCCUCCAUUCAUAGGAAUGAGGUACAUCAACCUAUGUUCAUUGAUUAUAUUUGAAUUUAAUUAUUUUCCUCUAAUUAAAUUUUGGUUCGUAAUAUAUAUUUAUCUCUAUAAUAUUUAGUGUAGACGUUUUUAUUCUUUGCAAAUCAGCAAGUUGGUUUAUGAAUACUUUGUGUUUAAGAAAGUGUCUUACCCUUCCUUUGGUAGAAGGGAAAGGGAGGAGAAUGAGAAUGAGAGAAGAGAAAUUGAAGACAAAGAUUCUCUCUCUCUCAUUUGAUUGAGGAGAGAGUUUGAGAUGAGAGAGUAAAAAUUGAAGUGAAGUAUACCAAAUUUUAUUCUUCUCACAUGUUAAGAGAAAGUGGGGGAGAAAGAGUGAGGGAGUUUGGACAAGGAUCACAUGUCCAAAAAAAAAUUCUUAUUUCCAUUUUCCAAGUCAAACACAUUCCACCAAGUAAUAUAAAAAAUUAUUUUAUGUCUUAAUGAAUUUUCUUUUUACUUAGCUGUCAUUUUUAAUUAAAUUGACAAUCAAAUGGGACACCAAAAGUGACACAAGUGAUCUCCAUUCGGGGAGUUUCAUCACUUAUUUAUCUUCUUCUUUUUCUAUACAACCAAAUAACACAAAAUUUAACUCUAUUUCUCACAGUUUUCUCUAUUUUCACUCUCUUUCUCACAUAUUUCUUUCUUCUUACUUUCUUCCGUUCAGCCAAAUGGAGCCUUAAAGUGUAUCAUGUGUAUUUUGUUUGAGAAAAUGCCUACAAAUUAAUAUUGCAUUGAUCAAUGCCAUACCCGACGCAAAUAAUAUAACAAUUAAGAACUGUAGUUAGGGGUGUAAAAAUUCAGUUCGGUUCGGUUUUUGGUGCAUUUUAGUGACCGAACCAAUCAAAAACAUAUGGUUCGAUUCCGCUCAAUUAACCGCAACUUUAACUAUAAGAACCUAACCGAACCGCUCUUGAAUGGUUCGGUUCGGUUCCACGGUUUUUACAUUUACUUUUUAUAAAAAAAUAUUUCAUCGAUUGAAAAUUCAAAAUGUAUUACAAGAGAUAUUGUUUAUCAUAAAAGGAUAAACAUUAUUAAUAUUAUUAUAAAAAACUAUGAGUCAUACAUAGCAAUACACUUCAUGAUUAGUAACAUAUAUAUCAAUUAGUAAAAUAUAUAAUAGUUACAUUUAUAACCUUACAUUUCAUAAUUAGUAACACAUGUAACAAUACAUGCAUAACAAUAUAUGAUAUAUGUUGGUUUUAAACUCAAUAUCACAAAAAUUGAAAAAUAUGUUCCAAAUCAUAAGACAUUAAGAAAUAUUUUAGUAACUAAUAACAUAUAUAAUACUAACUUAAUAACAAUUUAGUAAUAUAUGUAACACUAUAAUUCACACAAAAAUUAAUAAUUUAAGCUAGAAAAUUGGUUGAAGAAUUUAAACAAUAAUAAAAAUAUUAUUUCUUAAUCUCUAGUAUAUAUUUCUUUAAUAUGCGGUUCGAUUCGGUUCUAACGGUUCCUAGAUUUCUAAACCAUAAACCGAACCGAACAUAAACGGUUCCUUAAAAAAAUAACCGAACCGAACCGCGAAACCGAACCGCACCAUAUUUUGCGGUUUGGUUUGGUUCGGUUUCGCGGUUUAAACCGGAACCGCUGACACCCCUAACUAUAGUACUAGGAAUUGACUCUUAGGUCGUUUUCCAAAAAUUAUCUUUCAAACAAAGAUUCAAACACCUUAUACUCACACACACAAAGGGGGGUUUUGUUGUUGGAUUAGUAUGAACAAUAAAAAAAUUCAGAAACAGUAAAUAACAAUGUGAUAAAAUGGCUACGUCUCUUUGGUUCGUUUAUUCACAACUCAAUCCUCGAUUUCAAAAGAUUAAUUUCAUAUUUCAAACAUCAUCUUCCUAAUUUGCACAGUUUCAUAAUCUCAGUCUUUAACUAAGCGAAAUCAGCAUAAACAUGGAACAUUAACAAAUCUACACAAACUAAGCGUUUAUGCACUAGAGAGUAAAUCAACUAAACGAAGAUAAACUCAUAAACCAGUUUUCUAAAUAAUAGGAUUAAGCAACCACAUUCAGAAAUAGGAUAGAGAAAUCGAUAGUAAGAAACCGAAAAUGCAUUAAUAACAAAACCUCGAGAGUUGUGAUACAUUACCAAAAGAAUUUAGUCUAAAAGUUUAGCCUUCCAUUGAGUGGAAGAAGUAUGAAACCCUAGCAGAGCAUAAGAGGAAAAAUGAAAAUGUGUUUUUGUUUCAAAAUGAGGAAAAGUAAAGUGUGUGUGUUUGAAGUGGGGAAUCCAAAUUUAAUCACUCCAACACACAUAAAACCAAAUUGGGCCUAAACAAUGGACUCAAAGCUAAAUUACCAUAAAAACAACUCCUAAAAUAAAAAUACAACUUUCACUUUAACACAUAUCCUCGAAUUCCAUAAUGCCCAAAAUGUAAUUGGUGUCAAAUGUGAUCUGAAAAUGAUAACAGAUUUAAUGAGGCCAAAUAAUCUCAAAUUAACUCAUUUUAGGAAUAUUAGUCCAAUAAAGUCUAAAACACUAAACCAUGUGAAACAAAGUCAAUUAGGCACCAAGAAUCAUCAAUCAUGCUAAAUUAAGGUUAUGAAUAGUGUGUAAUAUAUUCGGGGAGUUUAAUCACUUAUUUAUCUUCUUUUUUCUAUACAACCAAAUAACACAAAUUUCACUCUAUUUCUCACAGCUUUCUAUAUUUUCACUCUCUUUCUCACAUAUUUCUCUCUUCUUACUUUCUUCCCUUCAGCCAAAUGGAGCCUUAAAGUGUAUCAUGUGUAUUUUGUUUGAGAAAAUGCCUACAAAUUAAUAUUACAUUCAUAUACUAUAGACUAUACAUAACGUGUAUUCAUUAUAAAUCAACAAUUUGAUUUAUGAGUACUAUACAUAAUUUGUACUCGUUGUAAAUUAAUGAGUUGGUUUAUGAAUACUAUGUGUUUAAGAAAAUGUCUAAAAAUAUUUCAUGUAUAUUUUUGUUUGAGAAAAUUAUUAUACAUCUUAUAUUUCAUUCAUAUAUUCUAUACUACACAUAUUUUGUAUUCACCGUAAAUUAACAAGUUGAUUUAUAAGUGUUAUGUGUUUGAGAAAAUGUCUAAAAGUGUUUCAUAUGUAUUUUGUUUGAGAAAAUAAUUAGAAAUUAUAUAUUGCAUUCAUACACUCUAGAAUAUACAUAAUUUGUAUUCAUGGCCAUUAACCGGAUGAUUCUACUAUUGUUUAGUUGAGAAUGACCAUAUAUUUCUCAUAGCAACUAUACUCAUAGGUAUAUGUAUAGUAACUAUGACUAACUUGGUUGUUUUCUUGAAUAUUAUUCAGGUCAAUUUUGGAGAUAAAAUUAUAAUAAUGAACAAUUUGUUUCAGGUUAGCAUAACAAUAUAACAUCUUAAACAUUCAUUUGGACAUUUACAAGUGAGCCAAUAAUGCCUUUGUCCAAUAUUUACAAGUGAUCCAACAAUGCCAACAAUACCUUUUAAAAGUGUAUCAUGUCUUUUAAUAUAUAAGCCUUUUCACAAUGAUCAUAUAUUUAUCAUUACAACUAUACCAAUGGGUACACAUAUAGCAACUAUAUAUGUAAAAUAGUAUAUGAAAGUUUAAAAGUAGUAGUAUGUAUGUUGUACUGCAAGUAUAUAUAUACUUUUUAUGGACUUGAACUCAUUUGAAGCGUCAUGUGAAGGUGGAAUUAAACAGUGAGCAAUCAAAUUAUGUCUCAUCCUUAGUUUUUUUAUUAAUCAUUGUAGUUGGAAAAUUAUUCAAUGGCUGUAAAAUGGGUUAAUGAUUUACUUGACUAUUAUGAUAUAAGUUUUAUUUUUGAAAGUUGGUUCAAUAGUUGUAAAAGAGAAUAGAGUUUUACUUAGUCAUUGUAAUGUAAAAGUUUCACAAUGAUUAUAUGAAAAAAAAAUUAUAUUGUUAUAAA